rnacentral:lncRNA from 1 species
UUUCUACUAACAUUGAAAUUGCAGUUUAAUGUCGCCGUUGCACCCACUAUAUUGUGGCUAUAUUGCAACAAAAUUGCGGUUCGAUGCCACUGCAUAAACUGCCACAACUGCAAUAUUAAAUUUCUUAGCAUACCAUUGUAUUUUGCCAUAUUGCUUUCUAAAACUUCAGAGCUUUCUAAUAUUCAAUUAUGUGUAGUGGCCAAGGGAGUAACUUCAGCAAGUGGUGUUGGAAGUGGCGAGUUCCUACACAUGGGACAUGAGAAAUUUAGCCUAAACCAAGUGCCAAUACAAUCCUUAUGAAAAAAGUGACCACAAUCAGGUAAGAGGCGCAACCACUCUGAAUCUUUAUAAUCUGCUAAACAAAUUGAGCAAUGGAGUGAUGUUGAAUCAGGUUUAUGAAGCUUGGCUUGAGAAUACAACAACAUGGGAUAACUAUUCAAAAUGGUAUCUUGUUCUUCCUCAGAUACUUCAAUAUUCACUUCAGUAUUUGUAUCCAUGAAGAUUAAGGUUCUGUUAGAGUUGCUGUUGUAGCUGCC